ACGGGAGGCAGCAGUGGGGAAUAUUGGGCAAUGGGCGAAAGCCUGACCCAGCGACGCCGCGUGAAGGAAGAAGGUCUUCGGAUUGUAAACUUCUUUUAUAUGGGACGAAGAAGUGACGGUAGCCAAGGAGGAAGCCACGGCUAACUACGUGCCAGCAGCCGCGGUAAUACGUAGGUGGCAAGCGUUAUCCGGAAUUACUGGGUGUAAAGGGAGCGCAGGCGGGAUAGCAAGUCAGCGGUGAAAAUUAUGGGCUUAACCCAUAAACUGCCGUUGAAACUGUUAUUCUUGAGUGGAGUAGAGGCAGGCGGAAUUCCGAGUGUAGCGGUGAAAUGCGUAGAUAUUCGGAGGAACACCAGUGGCGAAGGCGGCCUGCUGGGCUCUAACUGACGCUGAGGCUCGAAAGUGUGGGGAGCAAACAGGAUUAGAUACCCUGGUA
rnacentral:rRNA from 1 species